rnacentral:rRNA from 1 species
CAGCAGCCACGGUAAUACGUAGGGUGCAAGCGUUAAUCGGAAUUACUGGGCGUAAAGCGUGCGCAGGCGGUUUGUUAAGACAGAUGUGAAAUCCCCGGGCUUAACCUGGGAACUGCAUUUGUGACUGGCAAGCUAGAGUAAGGCAGAGGGGGGUGGAAUUCCGCGUGUAGCAGUGAAAUGCGUAGAUAUGCGGAGGAACACCGAUGGCGAAGGCAGCCCCCUGGGCCAAUACUGACGCUCAUGCACGAAAGCGUGGGGAGCAAACAGGAUUAGAUACCCCAGUAGUCCCUGUCUCUUAUAC